UGUCGUCUCUCCAUUCUUGCGACGGCGAUGCAUGACGCUCGCGAUUCUUUUCUCCGACUAAAACGGCCAAAGUUAUGACUUCGUCUUUAUUCCAAUUGAUUCAAUCGCCCACUACGGACUCUUCAAUGCACCGAUCGUAUCUCCGGAUCUGUAUAAAUAUGUAUCAUAGGUGAGAUCAGUGCGGUGAAGAGAACCGUGAGUCAACCUCCGGAAGAUAAAAAUCGUGUCAUUGUGACAGUCAAAUUGGAAAAUGAUGUGUCUGUUACUCUUAGCCUAUUCAACUGUCAAGCUGUUUCGUUCCACAAAAGGCUUGAAGACAUGCUUGAUGAUCCCAAGGUGAUUGUUGCCAUGAACAUAAAU